GGCCUUGUAUUCAUGAGGUGAUGUUAGAAUGCAAUUCUAAAGGGGUGGUUAAGUGUACCACUAAGGCCU
rnacentral:tRNA from 1 species